AGAUCAAGCAACUUGACCCAUGUUUGUUCACACCCAAAAUAUUGUAAUAAACCAAAGCAGAAAAAAACAAAGAAACUCUAAGAUGGCUAGGGUUCCUUGCAAGCAUCUUCUUCUUGCUGCAUUUUUCCUCUUCUUCUUCAUCUCCACAACUGCUACAGCACGAAAUCUACCGGUGGCCAAGGUAACUCAAAAGCCCCAUGAUCAUCAAGAGCUUACAUCAACAAAAGACCAUGGAGAACCUAAUAUUAGUGUUGAUGAAUUAGUAUCUAUGGACUACACUCCAGCAACAAGAAAGCCACCGAUCCAUAAUUAAUUGGCAAAAUUUUGUAAAAACAAGUACUAGCUAGCUAGUUCAGUUCUUUCGUUCUUUUCACUUUGGACCUGCUUUUGUUUGAGUGUAUACAUUUAUACAUGGUAGAAAGGAUAAAGUAAUGAAAGAAAUGAUUUACACA